rnacentral:rRNA from 1 species
GAACCGUGCGAACGUUGUUCGGAAUCACUGGGCUUAAAGGGCGCGUAGGGCGGCUUGCCAAGUCAGAGGUGAAAUCUUUCGGCUCAACCGAAAAAGUGCCUUUGAUACUGGCAGGCUUGAGGGAGGUAGGGGCAUGUGGAACUGGUGGUGGAGCGGUGAAAUGCGUUGAUAUCACUAGGAACGCCGGUGGCGAAAGCGACGUGCUGGCCCUCUUCUGACGCUGAGGCGCGAAAGCCAGGGUAGCGAACGGGAUUAGAUACCCCGGUAGUCCUGGCCCUAAACGAUGGGUACUAGGUAGUGGACUUAACAUGGGUUCACUGCCGAAGCAAAAGUGUUAAGUACCCCGCCUGGGGAGUAUGGUCGCAAAGGCCGA